rnacentral:rRNA from 1 species
AUGUGCGUACCUAAAAACCAAGGGGGAAUGGGAUUUUGUGAUAUUCACUGUUUCAACUUGGCUCUGCUCAAGCAGGUGUGGUGUCUUAUUGAUAACCCUGAUUCCUUGUGUGCUACUAUCCUAAGGGCAAAGUACUAUCCUGAUGGUGAUUUGUUGAACACUAAAUUAAAGAAAGGAUCAUCAUUUACCUGGCAAAGUAUUAUGGCAGGGAAGGAGUCCCUAAAACGCUGCUACAUUUGGCGAGUGGGGAAUGGUCAAAAUAUUAACAUUUGGGAUGACGUCUGGAUCCCCAACUGUGCCACAAGGAAAAUUGUGACGCCCAAGGGGAGACAUUUGUUAGCGAAGGUGGGUAACCUGAUUGAUCUUGUUACAAAUAGCUAGGAUGAAGAUCUCAUUAGACAAACUAUGUGGCCCAUUGAUGUACAACAAAUUCUUUCAAUUCCACUUCCACACCAUGAUAUGCCAGACUUUAGAGCUUGGGGUUAUCAAAAAAACAGGAUGUUCUCGGUUCGGUCUGCCUACUCUCGGGAGUGGGAGCAUCAGUAUGGAGAUAAAUUAAGACAUUCUAAUGGGAGGGGGUGAACCACAAUUAACCCAAUUUGGAGUAAGAUAUGGAAGUUAUCUUGCCCAGCAAAAGUCAAAUUUUUUAUAUGGUGUACGUUGCAUGAUACACUUCCAUGCCGGGUAACACUUUCAAAUAGACAUAUUAAGAUCUCAUCCAUUUGUCCUACUUGUUCAGAGGGCCUAGAAGAUCCAAAACACAUGAUUUUUCUUUGUAGAAAAGCCAGAGAGGUGUGGAAAAGACUUGGGAUGGAUGAUAUUAUUAAGAAAGCCUGUGAGGUUGAUCAUGUUGGAGAUGCGGUGUUGGAAUAUUUACUACUUCUACCAGACCAAGAACUGUUGAUUUUGGGCCACCAUAAUGUGCGCAAAAUGAUUGCUGUCUCAGCAUGGUACCUACGGUGGUAA